UCCACAGCAUUGUGACACGUGCAUCAGAGCAGACCACUGACGGGGGAGGGGGGGGGAAUUUCCAAAGUGAGCACCAGCAGGCCUUCCACACACCAGUUCUCUGGCUCACCAGCUUAAUGAAAAGAAAGGAGAAAUGGGCUCCAAAAGUAGGGCGUCUUCUUGCCACUAUUGACUCAGUGUCCCCUAGAUCCCUCUAGAGAGAAAGCAUAACAUUGAGCCAGCUGGCAUAGGGGAAAGGUUUACAGAGAGUAGCUCCAUUAUAACAAUGCAGGGGAAAGAGGGUGAGUUUGCGUUGAGAAAUAAAAAAUUGAUAAAUGGCAUGCCAAUUUUGUGGGAAGGUGUAUUAGGGUUCUCCAGAGAAAAAGAACCAACAGAACGUAUGUAUGUACAUGAGUAGGUGUCUAUCUGUCUAAAGGAAUUGUUUCACAGGAUUUUAGAGGCUUGGCAAGUCCAAAUUCUGCAGUGUAGGUCAAUAGGCUGGAGAUCCAGGGAAGAGAGGCAGUUUGAGUCCAGAGUGUCUGCUGGCAGAAUUCCCUUUCUUUCUAGGGAGAUCCGUCUUUUCCUAUGAAUUCCUUCAACUGAUUGGACAAGGUCCACCUACACUAUGGACGGUAAUCUGCUUUACUCAGAGUCCACUGAUUUAAAUGAAUGCACCAUGAUCUGGUCUAGAGUGUUUUUUGUGGGAAGGCUGCCAGUCAUGAAUUUGUUUCCUUCAAUCGAUGAAGAGCUCUACAGAUGAUCCAUUGCUUCCUGACUAAGCUUUGGUAGUUUGUCCUUCUGGAAUUUGAGUCCUAAUUGUGGAAAUGUAUUGAGAAGGAGUUUUUAUCAGCCUGGAUCCUUGGGAAAGUGUAAUGAGUAAAGCAUCC